GGGUUGUGAGGUUAAGCGACUAAGCGUACACGGUGGAUGCCCUGGCAGUCAGAGGCGAUGAAGGGCGUGCUAAUCUGCGAUAAGCGCCGGUAAGGUGAUAUGAACCGUUAUAACCGGCGAUACCCGAAUGGGGAAACCCAGUGUGACUCGUCACACUAUCAUUAACUGAAUCCAUAGGUUAAUGAGGCGAACCGGGGGAACUGAAACAUCUAAGUACCCCGAGGAAAAGAAAUCAACCGAGAUUCCCCCAGUAGCGGCGAGCGAACGGGGAGGAGCCCAGAGCCUGAAUCAGCAUGUGUGUUAGUGGAAGCGUCUGGAAAGGCGCGCGAUACAGGGUGACAGCCCCGUACACAAAAGCGCAUGUGCUGUGAGCUCGAUGAGUAGGGCGGGACACGUGGUAUCCUGUCUGAAUAUGGGGGGACCAUCCUCCAAGGCUAAAUACUCCUGACUGACCGAUAGUGAACCAGUACCGUGAGGGAAAGGCGAAAAGAACCCCGGCGAGGGGAGUGAAAAAGAACCUGAAACCGUGUACGUACAAGCAGUGGGAGCCCCACCACUAAGCCAGUGGUGAACUCCACAUACGCAUCCUUUGCUGAGGAUACGGUUAAGGGAGCGAAAGCGACGUUCAACCGCAAAAGAAGCAGAGGGGGCUUAGUGGUGGGGUGACUGCGUACCUUUUGUAUAAUGGGUCAGCGACUUAUAUUCUGUAGCAAGGUUAACCGUAUAGGGGAGCCGUAGGGAAACCGAGUCUUAACCGGGCGUUAAGUUGCAGGGUAUAGACCCGAAACCCGGUGAUCUAGCCAUGGGCAGGUUGAAGGUUGGGUAACACUAACUGGAGGACCGAACCGACUAAUGUUGAAAAAUUAGCGGAUGACCUGUGGCUGGGGGUGAAAGGCCAAUCAAACCGGGAGAUAGCUGGUUCUCCCCGAAAGCUAUUUAGGUAGCGCCUCGUGAACUCAUCUCCGGGGGUAGAGCACUGUUUCGGCUAGGGGGUCAUCCCGACUUACCAACCCGAUGCAAACUGCGAAUACCGGAGAAUGUUAUCACGGGAGACACACGGCGGGUGCUAACGUCCGUCGUGAAGAGGGAAACAACCCAGACCGCCAGCUAAGGUCCCAAAGUCAUGGUUAAGUGGGAAACGAUGUGGGAAGGCCCAGACAGCCAGGAUGUUGGCUUAGAAGCAGCCAUCAUUUAAAGAAAGCGUAAUAGCUCACUGGUCGAGUCGGCCUGCGCGGAAGAUGUAACGGGGCUAAACCAUGCACCGAAGCUGCGGCAGCGACACUGUGUGUUGUUGGGUAGGGGAGCGUUCUGUAAGCCUGUGAAGGUGUGUCGUGAGGCAUGCUGGAGGUAUCAGAAGUGCGAAUGCUGACAUAAGUAACGAUAAAGCGGGUGAAAAGCCCGCUCGCCGGAAGACCAAGGGUUCCUGUCCAACGUUAAUCGGGGCAGGGUGAGUCGACCCCUAAGGCGAGGCCGAAAGGCGUAGUCGAUGGGAAACGGGUUAAUAUUCCCGUACUUGGUGUUACUGCGAAGGGGGGACGGAGAAGGCUAUGUUGGCCGGGCGACGGUUGUCCCGGUUUAAGCGUGUAGGUGUGUGUUCCAGGUAAAUCCGGUUCACUUUAACACUGAGGCGUGAUGACGAGGCCCUACGGUGCUGAAGCAACAAAUGCCCUGCUUCCAGGAAAAGCCUCUAAGCAUCAGGUAACAC
rnacentral:rRNA from 1 species